AUUGAACGCUGGCGGCAGGCCUAACACAUGCAAGUCGGGCGGAUGAAGGGAGCUUGCUCCUGGAUUCAGCGGCGGACGGGUGAGUAAUGCCUAGGAAUCUGCCUGGUAGUGGGGGAUAACGUCCGGAAACGGGCGCUAAUACCGCAUACGUCCUGAGGGAGAAAGUGGGGGAUCUUCGGACCUCACGCUAUCAGAUGAGCCUAGGUCGGAUUAGCUAGUUGGUGGGGUAAAGGCCUACCAAGGCGACGAUCCGUAACUGGUCUGGGAGGAUGAUCAGUCACACUGGAACUGAGACACGGUCCAGACUCCUACGGGAGGCAGCAGUGGGGAAUAUUGGACAAUGGGCGAAAGCCUGAUCCAGCCAUGCCGCGUGUGUGAAGAAGGUCUUCGGAUUGUAAAGCACUUUAAGUUGGGAGGAAGGGCAGUAAGUUAAUACCUUGCUGUUUUGACGUUACCAACAGAAUAAGCACCGGCUAACUUCGUG
rnacentral:rRNA from 1 species